UACGUAGGAGGCAAGCGUUAUCCGGAUUUACUGGGCGUAAAGCGUGUGCAGGCGGUUUUGGAAGUUGGAUGUGAAAUCUCCUGGCUCAACCAGGAGGUGUCGUUCAAAACUGCCAGACUCGAGGACGGUAGAGGAGAGUGGAAUUCCCGGUGUAGUGGUGAAAUGCGUAGAUAUCGGGAGGAACACCAGUGGCGAAGGCGGCUACCUGGACCAGCACUGACACUGAGGCACGAAAGCGUGGGGAGCAAACAGG
rnacentral:rRNA from 1 species